UUCACCGUAUUUAAACAGAACCAGCUUCACCAACAAUAGUUCACAUCCAGUUAGAGGGUAGUUAACAUUAGCUUAACUAGUGAACAUCUAGUUACAUCAGAUAGAGUAGUUAACAUCUAGCAAACAUCAGGAACAUUACAGUAGCUAGCAUCUAACUAACAUGAGCUUGAGUAGUUAAUAUCUAGCUAACAUCCGCUUGACUUAUUAUCUGCGGUCCAAUCUGAAGGGAGCUGCCCAACUAGGCAGCAUUUUCAGGCAGCAUAGGCGCGCUCCCGAGAAAAGGACUGUCCCAUUCGGAAGGUAGCAUGUGCUGCCUUAUUUUACCCCGAUUCUGAAGGCAGCGUGAGAUGUAUCCUUCACGGCGAAGGCAAUCCCAUGAUGCAUUUCACCAGCUCAGAGUUCCAGCGCUCAGAUUUAAAAACAUGGCGGACGGAGCCAGCACUGCGAGGGAGUUUCUGUACAAAUGGAUGAACGUGGGCCGGGGAAGGUGAACUCUGGUCAGACCGGCUGGAGGCAGCGUUAGCUCCCUUUAUGAAUAGUUUUUUUUUUCUUUGAAUGUAAUAAAGUUUUCUCUCUUAACAUUA